rnacentral:rRNA from 1 species
UGGGGAAUUUUGGACAAUGGGCGCAAGCCUGAUCCAGCCAUGCCGCGUGCGGGAAGAAGGCCUUCGGGUUGUAAACCGCUUUUGUCAGGGAAGAAAUCUUCUGAGUUAAUACCCCGGGAGGAUGACGGUACCUGAAGAAUAAGCACCGGCUAACUACGUGCCAGCAGCCGCGGUAAUACGUAGGGUGCAAGCGUUAAUCGGAAUUACUGGGCGUAAAGCGUGCGCAGGCGGUUUUGUAAGACAGAGGUGAAAUCCCCGGGCUCAACCUGGGAACUGCCUUUGUGACUGCAAGGCUUGAGUGCGGCAGAGGGGGGAUGGAAUUCCGCGUGUAGGCAGUGAAAUGCGUAGAUAUGCGGAGGAACACCGAUGGCGAAGGCAAUCCCCUGGGCUGCACUGACGCUCAUGCACGAAAGCGUGGGGAGCAAACAGGAUUAGAUACCCCUGGUAGUCCACGCCCUAAACGAUGUCAACUGGUUGUU